ensembl:lncRNA
CCGGUGUGUAGAGCUCUGUCAGGUUCAGCGAACGCGCACACACACACACACACAAACACUAGCAGCUGGAAUACGGCUCGCUUCACGCCUACGCUGAAAAUCCCGACCUGUUCCUGAAACUGUCUGGCCUUGUGUUGACCACCCAUUUCUCUUUCAUAGAGAAGAACAUGGCGUCGGAAGGAGCGAAAGGGGAGCAGCCGCCUCCGCUGCAAACACUGCUAACCGCUGGCCAUGGAAGCGUCGAGACGGAUCUGAUUCACAGAAGGAGUUUCUUUUGACAAGAACAUGCGGUGUGGGCGUUCCAUCUGGUUGGAGAAAGAGUGCUGACAGAAUGCAGUUCUGACAGUGCUGACACCAUAAUUAAAGCUAAAGAAUGAUAUUUUAAUGAACAUUAAACCUGGAUUUCCUGGUGGGGGUAAAACCGUAGGCAUGUUUCUGUGCCACUUUUGUUGGACCUCUUUUGUAAAUUCACCAUGCCAGUAAAUUUAUUAUUCAAUAUAGAAAAAAUGUGGUUGGUAUUUAGGUGACUUUAAGCAAGAACCUAAUUGCUGCAGACAUUAAUCUAAAUCUAAAUUUAGCAAACUAGGUUCUUAGUCUUUAAACUGUGAUAGCAAUGUGAAAGAAUACAAGUGUGGUGUCAUCUGAAUGACUUUGAGUGAGGCUGUAUUUGUGCGCAUCCCUUCUGGUCGUAACACCAUUUUUUCCAGUCUGGCCGGGAAACCAGACUUUUUGGAGCAAGAUGGAGAAUGGAUUAAAGAAAGAGUUCACAGCAUUCUAGUCUCAUCCAGAGAUUUUCUGGAAGUCUGACUUGCAAGACUAAGAUGUUUCCAGAUUGUUGCCUGUGGGAUGCUUUAUACAGUUGGCCAUUGUUAAUGUCAUUCAAAUGGCCUCUUCUUUCCGGUGUAGGUUGUUCUCGGCCAUUCUGAGUCUCCCAGACUUUAAUGAUCUUAAACAUAUCCUGGUGUAGUCAUGUUUGCACAAACAUUAUACUUGUACAGUAAAAGACGAUGCACUAUUUAUUUAGGUGUCAACAUAGCUUUCAUUCCAUACAACUUAUGAUAUCACUGUUCAAGUAGCAAAUCUUCAAGUCAAAAACAUUUGAUUAUUCCCACCCCCACACACUAGAUUGCCAGUAAGUCCUGUUCAAAAGCAACUACUCAGUUGUUUUCCUGGAACACAGUAAUAUUCCCAGAGCACCAGGCUAGAAAACACUAUUUGCUGCCAGAAAGCUUAUUGAUUAUAUGUUUUAGGACUGUUUUAUGUCAUAUGUAAUGAAAGGGUUAAGCACAGACUCUUUCUCUGCUUUCAGAAGGGCUCACAGAAUAUUCAGCAAAAUUAUAGUAAAUUUUAUGUCAGAUUGAUAUAAUGACUGCAGAUUCCAAAUGUGUUCCAGUGUAUUUGUAAAAUCACAAUAGGUUGCAGUAUAUUAAAUAUUAACUGCCUGCUGCUAUAAACUAGUAACUCUCAUUUUGUUCUUGUAGCUGUUGUUUUUGUUUAUGUAACAUAGUUGUUUAAGUAAAAUAUAGCAGGCAGAAUUACUUUUUCCAGUGAGGAGCAAGAAAUUGCUCCAGUGAAUAAAAUGACAUUAACAGCAGUAGUGGUAUUAGAUAAAGGGAAUAUACAAUACAGUACAAUACAAUACAAUGUAAUAAACACUGUAAUUCAUAUUCACUCAGUGAGGGUAAGCAAUACUGUAUCUGGAAAUAUAGCCUUUUCUAUUUCUUUUUUGUGAUCGUAAUGCAUAUGCAAAAACAAGACUGGGCCAUAGAGAUGUAACGGUAUGAAAACUGUGUAAAACUAUCAUGGUUAUCAGUAUUAUCACAGUAUUGUUAAAAUGUACUGAAAAUGUACAAAAAGUACAGAUACACACACUGAAAUCAUUUAAACAGGUUUUAACCCUCUUACCCCUAAGGUCCCACAGUAUUAUGUCCCAUAACCCUAUAUUCCCCAGAGAAACAGCACGUCAACCCUGAGUUCCUGGGCCAAAAUCAACAUUUUAAUUUUAACAUUUUUAAGCCUUGAAAUUAGAGCACAAUUCUUAGCUAGAGAAAUUACGAAAAAAUUCUCGCUAAAAUCCUUAUACUCAUUUAGAAGUAUCAUACGAGCAUCAGCGUGGUCAAUGCCUUUAUCAAUAAUAAAUA